CGCGGCCUAUCAGCUUGUUGGUGGGGUAAUGGCCUACCAAGGCUUCGGCGGGUAGCCGGCCUGAGAGGGUGACCGGCCACACUGGGACUGAGACACGGCCCAGACUCCUACGGGAGGCAGCAGUGGGGAAUAUUGGACAAUGGGCGGAAGCCUGAUCCAGCAACGCCGCGUGAGGGAUGACGGCCUUCGGGUUGUAAACCUCUUUCAGCACCGACGAAGCGCAAGUGACGGUAGGUGCAGAAGAAGGACCGGCCAACUACGUGCUAGCAGCCGCGGUAAUACGUAGGGUCCGAGCGUUGUCCGGAAUUAUUGGGCGUAAAGGGCUCGUAGGCGGUUUGUCGCGUCGGGAGUGAAAACACCGGGCUUAACUCGGUGCUUGCUUUCGAUACGGGCAGACUUGAGGUAUGCAGGGGAGAACGGAAUUCCUGGUGUAGCGGUGAAAUGCGCAGAUAUCAGGAGGAACACCGGUGGCGAAGGCGGUUCUCUGGGCAUUACCUGACGCUAAGGAGCGAAAGUGUGGGGAGCGAACAGGAUUAGAUACCCUGGUAGUCCACACCGUAAACGUUGGGCGCUAGGUGUGGGAUCCAUUCCACGGGUUCCGUGCCGUAGCUAACGCAUUAAGCACCCCGCCUGGGGAGUACGG
rnacentral:rRNA from 1 species